CUAUCAAUGUCAACAAAGAUAGACUUGUCACUGAUCAUGUGGUUGCUACAUCCACUAUUAAGGUACCAUACAUUAUUUCUUUGCUCCUCCGCGGUUUGACAUGCAUAAAAUAUGCUUUGGCCGCUUUUAUUUUCUUCGAAGAGGUGUGCUUGCUCACUUGUUUGGUACUUAUCAUCUUUUUGAAUAUGAUCAAACUUUUUGCAAU
rnacentral:lncRNA from 1 species